UGAGGAAUAUUGGUCAAUGGGCGAGAGCCUGAACCAGCCAAAUCGCGUGAAGGAAGACUGCCUUAUGGGUUGUAAACUUCUUUUAUACAGGAAUAAAAAACGGGGACGUGUCCCUUAUUGCAUGUACUGUAUGAAUAAGCAUCGGCUAACUCCGUGCCAGCAGCCGCGGUAAUACGGAGGAUGCGAGCGUUAUCCGGAUUUAUUGGGUUUAAAGGGUGCGCAGGCGGGCUUUUAAGUCAGCGGUGAAAUCUCGGGGCUUAACUCCGAAACUGCCGUUGAAACUGGGAGUCUUGAGUAUGGAUGAAGUAGGCGGAAUUCGUUGUGUAGCGGUGACAUGCUUAGAUAUAACGAGGAACUCCGAUUGCGUAGGCAGCUUACUAAGCCAUAACUGACGCUCAAGCACGAAAGCGUGGGGAUCAAACAGGAUUAGAUACCCCUGGUAGUCCACGCCGUAAACGAUGAUUACUAGUUGUAUGCGAUAUACCGUAUGUGACUAAGCGAAAGCGAUAAGUAAUCCACCUGGGGAGUACGCCGGCAACGGUGAAACUUAAAUG
rnacentral:rRNA from 1 species